GGGAUUGUGGCUCAGUGGUAGAGCUCAUGCCUAGCAUGUGUGAGGCACUGGGUUCGAUCCCCAGCACCA
rnacentral:tRNA from 1 species